rnacentral:rRNA from 1 species
GACGAACGCUGGCGGCGUGCUUAACACAUGCAAGUCGAACGGAAAGGCCCUGCUUUUGUGGGGUGCUCGAGUGGCGAACGGGUGAGUAACACGUGAGUAACCUGCCCUUGACUUUGGGAUAACUUCAUGAAACUUGGGCUAAUACCGGAUAGGAGCUCCUGCUGCAUGGUGGGGGUUGGAAAGUUUCGGCGGUUGGGGAUGGACUCGCGGCUUAUCAGCUUGUUGGUGGGGUAGUGGCUUACCAAGGCUUUGACGGGUAGCCGGCCUGAGAGGGUGACCGGCCACAUUGGGACGGAGAUACGGCACAGACUCCUACGGGAGGCAGAAGUGGGGAAGAGUGCACAAGGGGCGGAAGCAUGAUGCAGCAAAGCAGCGUGCGGGAUGACGGCCUUCGGGUUGUAAACCGCUUUCGCCUGUGACGAAGCGUGAGUGACGGUAAUGGGUAAAGAAGCACCGGCUAACUACGUG